GGACUACGUCGUGCGGCGCACUCACUACUUCCGGAAGCCCAACAUUUGGAGAAAAUAGGCCCUGCUAUUACUGCCCUGGCUAGGACGUUUCGGGCCGAUUGAGGCACGGGCGUGGGGGCCCUUAUU
rnacentral:rRNA from 1 species